rnacentral:SRP_RNA from 1 species
GGCGGGUCUCCCCGCAUGGUUAUCCGGAGCAACGGGUCAGGCGCGGAAGCGAGCAGCCCACUCUGGUGUUGCCAGUGCCGGGGGUUUGGCUCGCCACC